rnacentral:rRNA from 1 species
GGUGAACGCUGGCGGCGUGCCUAAUACAUGCAAGUCGAGAGAACGGACGAGAAGCUUGCUUUUCUGAUGUUAGCGGCGGACGGGUGAGUAACACGUGGAUAACCUACCUAUAAGACUGGGAUAACUUCGGGAAACCGGAGCUAAUACCGGAUAAUAUUUUGAACCGCAUGGUUCAAAAGUGAAAGACGGUCUUGCUGUCACUUAUAGAUGGAUCCGCGCUGCAUUAGCUAGUUGGUAAGGUAACGGCUUACCAAGGCAACGAUGCAUAGCCGACCUGAGAGGGUGAUCGGCCACACUGGAACUGAGACACGGUCCAGACUCCUACGGGAGGCAGCAGUAGGGAAUCUUCCGCAAUGGGCGAAAGCCUGACGGAGCAACGCCGCGUGAGUGAUGAAGGUCUUCGGAUCGUAAAACUCUGUUAUUAGGGAAGAACAUAUGUGUAAGUAACUGUGCACAUCUUGACGGUACCUAAUCAGAAAGCCACGGCUAACUACGUG